UACGUAGGGCGCGAGCGUUGUCCGGAAUCAUUGGGCGUAAAGAGCUCGUAGGCGGCCGGUUGCGUCUGCUGUGAAAUCCCGGGGCUUAACCCCGGGCGUGCAGUGGAUACGGGCUGGCUGGAGGCAGGCAGGGGAGAAUGGAAUUCCCGGUGUAGCGGUGAAAUGCGCAGAUAUCGGGAGGAACACCGGUGGCGAAGGCGGUUCUCUGGGCCAGUGCUGACGCUGAGGCACGAAGGCCAGGGGAGCAAACGGG
rnacentral:rRNA from 1 species